rnacentral:lncRNA from 1 species
GGAUCAUCUUUUCAAGUUCUACUGAAAAGUCUAUCAUGAUUGUCAGCAAAGUUUAAUUGAAUUAAAUUUCCGGGGAUUAUUGACACCUUUGUUAUAUUAUCCUCCUAUUGAUAGGUGUGGAAUAUAGCUACAUUUAUGUAGGUUUCCCUUCCUGUUCUUCAGUAAAAUUUUUUGCUCCUGAGUGCCAUGGGACCAAUCACUCUAAGUGGGGGAGCCAACACAAUACUUUAAAAGCAGUACCUCCCAACUCAGACCAGAGACUAUCUCACUCCCUGCUGCAGAUCUCAGAUAUGAGUAAGGGAGAGUUGCAGAGACGAGAGCCUCCUAGGCUCAACCCAGAGUCCCCGCAGUCAACCAACGUGGUGCUGUUAAGGACUGGAGCAAAAAGAACUCUUGCUGGAAGGAACAGGAUUAGGAAAUUCGUUUGGGAAAACAAUUUGGCAUUACAUAAGAUUGUCAGAGUCUUCUUUGACUACUGAUCAACAGUUCCAUUCCUGUAUGUAUUCGUAUUAAGUACUACCCAAUAUGGUAGUUACUACUCAUUUGUGGCUAUAUAUAUGUAAAUUAAGAUUAAUUAAAAUAAAAUUUUAAAAUUCA